AAGUCGUAACAAGGUAACCGUAGGUGAACCUGCGGUUGGAUCAUUACAAAGUUGUUGUGUUGGGAGAAAUCCCGGCACUUUAACCCCCAUUGUGCACUUAUCUGGGCGUAAAAACCCUGUGAUAAACUAUUUUUUAUUUUUACGUCUUAAACUAUAAAAGUAUUACAACUUUUGACAACGGAUCUCUAGGCUCUC
rnacentral:misc_RNA from 1 species